rnacentral:tRNA from 1 species
GCGUUGAUAUUGCAGGGCUCACCGCUCGUUUGCAUUUUUGCCUUUUAAGCAGGGUGUCCGGGGUUCGAAUCCCCGCUGGAGCACCA